AUGCUCCACCGGCAGCACAUAUACUAGCACUGGAAUAGUGAGGAGAUUCGCAUGACCCCUGUACAAGGAUGACAUGCAAAUUCAUGAAGUGUUCCAUCUUUUU
ensembl:snRNA U6 U6 spliceosomal RNA